CCUCCACUUCAUCCUUCAUUCCUCCUUCCACCACGGCGGAGACUUCUGCUCGAGAAAAAGCUGAGCCCAACACCAAUCUCUUUGUCUCUGGACUUAGCAAACGAACUACUACAGAGGGACUAAGGGAAGCAUUUUCCAAGUUUGGUGAACUGGUUCAUGCCAGAGUGGUGACUGAUAGGGUGUCAGGAUAUUCUAAGGGGUUUGGUUUUGUCAG
rnacentral:misc_RNA from 1 species